GGCCGCGUGGCGCCCGCGCCGGGCUUCCUGCAGGGGACUCUACCGGAGCCUUGCCACUUCCGUUUGUUUCCCUGUUGUCGUACGCUUCACCCUGGAUCAUGUUCAAGAAGUUUGAUGAAAAGGAAAGUGUGUCCAACUGCAUCCAGUUGAAAACGUCAGUUAUUAAGGGCAUUAAGAGCCAACUGGUAGAGCAAUUUCCAGGGCCCCUCACAAAAGCAGCCUCGGGGACACCGGCCUUUUCUUGAGACCUGCAUCUCUUCCCUUCUUCAUCACCUGCUAGUGAACUGAGGCUGCCGCUAACCUUCUUCAUCCUUUGGUGGCAAAGUAGAAAGAUUCCAGAAUUAACUCAGACCUUUCUAAAGACCUGGGCUCAGUGGCAGCUGGCACUGACUGAGCACCCGCUAUGUGCCAGGCACUGUGCUGAAUGCAUUGUAAGGACUGUCUUACUUAUUCCCCACAGCAGCCCUAAGAGGGGGUGCUGUUAUCCCCUUUUUACAGAUAAGAAAACUGAAGCUCAGAGAGGGCACUGCCUUCCCCAAGGUCACCCAGCUACAAGUAACAAAGCCUGUGCUUCUAACACCAAAGACCACUUCCCGCUGACACUGUGCCAGGCUUGUAAGUCUCUCUCUGGGCCUCCAUUCCCUCCUGUAGGAAAUUGGAGGGGUUAGGGUGGCUCCAGUGAGCUUUUCCCUUCUGAAACUCAUACUAAUCUGGGGCAGCCAAGGCUUAGCCCCCCAGCCUGUGAACCUCUCACAGUGCCCACAGCCAUGCCCUCCUCCAUCCAGGGGCUGACAGGUGGGAGGGGUAGCCCCGCCCCGGGGAGUGGACUUACCUGGCCUCUCUGCUCAGAGAUC
rnacentral:sRNA from 1 species